GGCUAAGCGCAAACUACUUAGGCGAAGUUAAUAUUCAGGUUUAGUUAAUUGUUUUAAAUUUUAUUUCAUUUAAUUUAGAUUUAAUUAUCAUUUCUCUAUAAUUCAAUCAUCUAGAUAACUAUAAUUGCCGCAUAAUUUGGUACUCAACAAAGUCCUCAUGAGAACAAUACUCACUCAUCACUUUAUUGCUUGUUAACGAUCCGUGCACUUACAAGAUUUUGCACAAGUUUUUGGCAAUUUAAUUAGUUUAGCCAUUUUAUUUUAUUCUAU
rnacentral:misc_RNA from 1 species